UAGUUUUUUUUCUCUCUAUAAAAUUGACUUCAUUAUUCUGCACCUAAACAAUUAACACCCUUAUUUAUUAUUUAGGUUAGCAACAGUAUUUUCUCUCUCUUGAUUAUUGAAGGUUUCAAAAGUCAAAAAUGAAUUUCUUGACUCGAACCAUUUUUCCUUUGAUUAUAGUCUUUCAUUUAUGCUUGUCCUUGAUUAUAUAUUUCGUUUAGCAUUUACAAACUAGAGCAGGCUGGCUUAUUUAUUCUAGAGUUUAGAGUAGUAGGUGAUUGUUAGUGAUAGCGAUGGAUCUUUAAUUAUUUAUACUUAGGUACGUGUUUUUGGAUCUUGCAUUCAUUGAUCACGUUUAAGUCUGUUAGAUUGAAAUCGGGAUUAAGGGAGUUCACAAUUGAUUAGGGAUACAAAACACAGGAUUUUCAUAAAAUAAGAGGUUUUUUAGUGGUUCGGAGAGGUAGGGGACGCUAAUUUAUAGGAUAAACUCAUAUAAAAUUAUACUACUACUAUUUUAGUGGUUCGGAGAGGUAGGACAAUCGUGAGAGGAGCAGGAGAUGAAAGAAACAGUUCGGUUCUGGAAUGUUUUUGGUUGGCCUAAAUCUCAGAACACUGAAAGUGAAAUCGGGGCAUCAUCUCUUGGAAGGACGCAAAUUCGCUGAUCCUCUGCUAUGUAUCACUCUGCGCAUAUCAUCCUAUUUAUUCCUUGUCGCUGUGGUCACAAGAAUGUUACUUACGGCUCCUAUCACAGAAAUGUUUGGAGACGACACCAAGCGAGGUCACAAAUAUCAGCUGAUUGUACUCCAACAAUCAAGCAAAACUGGUAAUACUUUUUUGAAACAUGAGCAAAGUGUAUAGGAACUGUCAUGCUUGGUAACAUUUGGUUGAAGUUAAAGAGUAAAAACAGAAGAAGCUUCCGGUGGCCUAUUUUAUUUUAUUGUAAAUAAUUAUUCUUGGAGUUGAGGAGAUCGUCUAUCGUUCUCCAAGAUAUUUUUCAUUAAUGUGUAAAUCUUAUUUUAUUUUA